UCUCCCGCUCCCCCUGCUUGUGUUCCCUCUCUCGCUGUGUCUCUCUCUAAUAAAUAAAUAAAUAAAAUCUUUAAAAAAAAAAUGCUUUAUAGACGGCAGCACCACACAAGUGCAAGAGAUUGUCAUCACUCAGGAAGAAUAUUCACACUCCCCUGGCUGUGUAGAACCCCUUACUUGCAUAUAAUAAUUGAACCGAGCACUUUCUAUACAAAAGACAGGCUAGACACUACGUUUGGGGAGAAGCGCAAAGAUGAAUCAUACGCGGGUUUUUACACUCUAGAAGGUGACAUGUAAGGGAGGCGGCGGUGAGUGGUGUGAGAGAGGGUCAAACAAAGUCGUCGGGGGCUCAGAGAGACCCCCAGAAGCCCCAGCACACCGGCCUCUGGGCUGCUCCAGCCACGGGGACGGGCGCACCACCCCGCAGCUCCUAAAUUCUCAGGUUCAACACUCAGCCUGGCGCACAGCGGACAGGGUGACCGACUGUGCCGGUCGGCCUGCCACUCUCCUGGUUUUUCCACAGAAACCUCUCAGUCCCGGGGAAACCGGCACGGCCCGUCACCCUCACAGCAGCUGCCAGAGGCCGUUUUAUGGAGCUAAGCAGUAUUCUAGCGCCAGCCACAACCGGGGGUAGCGCCUGAGGCCCCACCCCGCCGUCCUGGGAGGAGGGAGCCUGAUUGGACCUGCUGAGGUCAGGUGAUCACUCAGGGCCAAUCAGCCGUGGCCGCCGCAGGACGGGCUCCCGCACCGAACAUGGCCGCCAGGGGCCCGCAGCGCCGGGCGGGGUAACACUUUGAUAAGCCACUUGAGGGGGGAAGUGCUAUGCACCCAAGGAUACCAGCUCUCAGCCCAGCCUAGAAGAGACGUACACCAGGAACCACAUGCGGGAUCUGAAAGGAGGAGCCCAAAGAAGGAGGGAGGUGGCACAAGCCCUGACAGAGGACCUGAGGACUUUUAUCAACAGCAGACAGCGAGAGAGAAAUGCAGAGGGAGAAGCAGGCUCCCAAGGAGCAGGGAGCCCGAUGCGGGACUCGAUCCCAGGACCCUGAGAUCAUGACCUGAGCCGAAGGCAGACGCUUAACCAACUGAGCCACCCAGGCGCCCCGGCUUUUUUUUUUUUUUUUAAUAAAAUGUCUCACUUGGCACAUGAAAUCCUCCUUAAUUAUAGACAUGUUUUCUCUCCUCUACUAGACUUGG